CACGGGGGGUGCAAGCGUUGUUCGGAAUCACUGGGCGUAAAGGGCGUGCAGGCGGUCAGGUAAGUGGGAUGUGAAAUGCCCCGGCUCACCCGGGGACCGGCAUCUCAUACUGCUUGGCUUGAGUACGGGAGAGGAUGUGGGAAUUCCUGGUGUAGCGGUGAAAUGCGUAGAUAUCAGGAGGAACACCGGUGGCGAAGGCGCACAUCUGGCCCGAUAUUGACGCUGAGGCGCGAAAGCUAGGGGAGCAAACGGG
rnacentral:rRNA from 1 species